GGCCUGUUGGCGAAAUGGUAUCGCAUUGGAUUCCGGGAUUGGAUACUCCAAAGGUUGCGGGUUCGAGUCCCGUGCGGGUCG